AGGUUAUAUUGUAUAGGACAUGUUAUUAAUACAAAUGUCUUUGAAAAUUAUUUUGUGUUCAGUAACAUCAUCUAGAUUGCCAUAGAGAAAAAUACUUUUUAACUCUAUAGUUUGCCACGUACAAGCUGUUGUUCAUAAGAAUGACUAGUAGACAGCACAAUAUAAUCUAUCACUAUCACUUUACUAAAACUGUUGGUGGGUCACCAAGUUUUACAUAUCUUUGAAUUAAAGAGAUCAUAUUCACAAGCAUAAUAUGUUGGGGUUAGGGUAUGAACAAUCAACAUAUUGGGGAAGCCAUCUUAGAGGUCAGUCUUCAGUGCUAUAACGAGACAAUCUAUUAACUAGCAGGAUGUUUGAUCAUUGAUUUUUCACUCCUCCGUAUCACUUCAUUACCUAAUGGUCAUAGGGCGUCACCUUUACUUCUUUUUUCACCAAGACUUGUUUCAUCAGAUAUUUUCUGGUAGUUUGAUUUGGGGUGUUAAACUCAAAAUGUCAGGCAGUAGACCCAAUUGGUUUGAUGGAAAAUACAUCAGUAGUGAUAUGAAAAUCAACAUAUAUUUGAGACUCAUGGCAAGAGAGAAAUUAUUUUGUAACAGCUGCCUAAUUUGUAGUAAAACACAUGGGGUUAAAAAAGCAAACCACAAACAGAAACACACGGAAUCCUUCCUAGAACAAUAGAGACUGUUCUAGGGAACAAUGUCCGGGCUAUUAUUUGUCUUCUUACAGAGGUGGGAAUAGGUCACACUGAAUUGCCUAAUUACAUGAGGACAUCAUUGCAUGGUCAGUUUGUCAACACUAGACAGAUAGCCAGGGGUUUGCAGGAGAUUUAUAUUAGUGUACAGGCUAACAGGCCAUGCCAGAGAUCCAAAAUAUAGCAGCUUAGAAAAGACAGAAGCGUUUUUUGUUUCUUUGUUUUAUUAUUUAUUUUUGUCUCACCUAAUAGAAGUGGGUAUGCCACGCUGUUAUUUUCGUCUCUGGGUCCAAGACAGCUUCUGCCCCAGUAGAGGUUCUUUUGUUAGGUGUAUACAUGUUUACAAUUGUUUUUUUCUUAUAGAUUGAUACUUUUGUCAUAAGAUGUCCUCAUUAAUAAAAUUUUUUUUUGUUUUAAUGUCUGUUUUGUCCAAUAUCAGUAUAGCCACUCCAGCUUCUUUAUGGUUUCUUUUUGUACGAUAUUUCUUGUUUUUUUCUUUUGCUUUCAACCUGAGUCUUUUACUUUCAAUUUAUAUCUAAGUCUAAAGUGUGUAUCCUGUAGAUAGCAUAUACUUGGAUCUUGUUCUUCUAAAAUCUAGUCUGACAAUCUCUGCCUUAUGAUUGGAUUGUUUAAUCCAUUCAUAUUUAAUGGUAUUAUUGAUAUAAUUGAAUUUACAUCUGUCAUUUUACUUUUUGUUUUCUAUAGUGCUCAUUUUUUGUGUGUUUCUCUGUCCUUUCAUGCUUGCUUUUUCGAGUACAUAUAAACUAAUGUAACAUUUGAAUUCUUUCAAUGACUUUUCACUUUAUGUGUUACAAACUCAACAAUACAUUAUUAUUACUAUUACUUUAUAUAUUUUAGGUGUAUAAAAUUUCCAAAAGAAACUGAGAGAAGAAAGUAGAAAAAAAUAUAUAAUUUUAGAUUUUGUUAUAUUAUCUUUCUUACUGGUUCUCUUCAUUUGUUCCUAUGGAUGAGUCACCAUCUAGUAUCAUUUCCUUCCUCUAAUACAGCUUUGCUCCCACUCACCCUUUGUGUUGUUUUUGACAAAUAUAUUGCAUUUGCUAUAUACAUAUCUUACAUAUAUAGGUCUAGCAAAACAAUUAUAUACAUAUUGUUUUAUACAACUGAUUUUUAAAUUAGUUAAGAAAGGAGAAUAAAUAUACAUUUAUACUAAUUUUUCUAAGUACAUAAUUAUGUUUACCCAGGAUCUUUGUUUUUUUCAUUUGGAUUCAAAGUAUGUUCUGGUAUAACUUGCUUUCAGCUUGGAGAACUUUUAGAAAUAUUUUUUAUAAGGUGGGUCUGCUAGCAACAGUUCUCUCAGUUUUUGUUUACUUGGGAGCAUCUCUACUUUACCUUUCUUUUUGAAAGAUAAUUCUGCUGGAUAUACAAUUCUUCGUCAACAGGAUUUUCCCCCCUUUCUGCACUUUCAAUGUAUCAUCCCACUCCCUUUUGGCCUCCAUGCUUCCUGAUGAGAAACCAUCUGUUAUUCUUAGCGUGGUUCCCUAGUACAUGAGUCGUUUUUCUCUUGCAGGUUUAAAGAUUUUUCUCUUUGCCUUUGAAAUUUUUACUAUGAUGUGUCUGAUUAUAGAUCUUUUUGCAUUUGUCCUACUUAAAAUUCACUGAGCUUCCUCAAUAAUUUUUUUGAGUAUUUUUCUACUCCUUUUCCUGAUACUUUCAUUAUGCCUAUCUUGGUGCCUUUAACGGUGUCACACAUUUCUGAGGCUAUGUUCACUGUUCUUCAUUCUUUUUUCUCUCUGAUCUUCAGAUUGCAUAAUUUCUAUUCAUUUAUCUUCAAGUACUGAUCCUUUUUUUCUGUCAUCUUCACUCUAUGGUUGAGCUCUCCUAGUAAAUUUUUCAUUUAUUUAUUUUAUUUUCAACUCCGUAAUUUCCAUUUGUUUGGUUUCGUUUUUGUAACUUCUUGUUACUGAUAUAUUCCAUUUGGUGAGACAUUGUCAUUACAUGUUCCUUUACUUUCUUAAGCUUGAUUUCUUUUCCUUUAAUUCUUUGAACAUAUUUUUAUUGGCUGUUUUAAAAUCUUUGCUAAAUCUGGCAUCUAGGCCCUCUCAAAGAUAGUUUCUGUUGAGUUGGGUCACACCUUCCUGUUUCUUUGUAUAGCUUGUAAUUUUUUGUUGUUGAAAACUGGACAUUUUAGAUAAUAAACUGUAAUAACCUUAGAUACAAAUAUGCUCCUCCCCAGGCUUAUAGUUGUUUACUGUGAUGGCUGAACUAUUUUAGUAAAGUAUAUUUCAUGGGUGUGCACACAGCAACCCUGGGAUGACAGUUUUAUGAGGGCUCUCUUUUUCUCUUUUCCUGAUCUUUGUGUUAAACUAUCUGUUUUGAUUAGUAUCACAAGAUGCUGUUAGCCUCUGCUAAUUGCAGGUUGAUUGCUCUAUUGUUUUCAACAGUGUUUGGGGGCAUAAAUUGUUUUACUACCUUGAUCCAAUAACUUUGAAUGGGUAAUCUUUGCAUGAGUAAUUUUUGCAGCCAGACUUUGAGGUUUGUUCCCAACCCAGGAGGGCUCUUCUUAGCUGUCCCAUUCCUGAGUUCUCAGGUAAACUUCUGGCUGGUCUGUGGUGUAGCUUAUUGCUUUCCUGGAGCUACCAGCCUCCUUUUAAUUGCUUACCACCACAAUCUCCACUAUUUUCAAGAGUACCCUCAGGCUUAAACUUCCCAACAUUCUGGUCCAAAUAAAGUCAGUUCACUUGGGGAGAGCGUUUGUGUUCUCUGUUCUUACUUUCUGCUUCUCCCCUUAGGCAAAACCUCUGGGCCACUGCUCCAGAGCUGGGGGCAAGAGAGUGGCCUGUUUCUCUUGGAGCGAUGCUUCGUGACUGAGCACAGUGCUGGGCUGGGGCAGCAGCAGCCUGUUUUCUUCAGCUUGCCUAUACAAAUGCAGAACCUUUUCACCAUCAGCAAGUUGGGAGGAGGACAGACGGGGCUUUGGUACUCUCAGGCUGCUGUACCUGGGGUAGAAAUGCCCACUUAUGAGUGGAAGCUGAGUGGAGGAAAGCAGCCCCAGAGUUUUCAGCUCCUCUUACCUGGAAUCAAACCUCUGCAACAUGGGACUUGAGGUGGAUGGGAGGUGAGAGAAGCUGGCAUGCCUGCCCCUCCCAGUGAGGGGAAGGCAGUUGGGGCAGAGGAGCGGGUUGUGGCUCAAAUGUCAGACAUUCUCACUAUUCUUAGUAAAAUGUAGUAGAUUUUCUUGAAUAAAUGUUUCUUCAUUUGAUGUAUGUCCUGCACAUUUUCCAGAGACUUUAAACAGUGAGUGUUCGGGGUUUUUUGAAAUAAUAUUCACCAGUUAUGGCUGUUUUACUGGAGAGAAGCUCUGCAGAAUCCCUCAUGCCCUCAUUCAAAAGUUGUCUCAAUCUCAUUUAUUUUUAACAUAUCAUUGCUCCUAAAUUAUACACCACCCCAAAAUAAUGUAGUUUUGGAAAUCACUAAAGGUAGUUGCAAGAUUACAUAUUAUGAGAAAAACGUUUGAAUAAAUAAAAAUGCUGGUACUCUUGCACUGCAUUUAAGCUUAGACAUUUAUCCCAUGCCUUUUUAGCUUAAAUAAGAGAAAUUUCACUUGGUCCAGGCACAUGUGGGGGUCAUUUUGGUGAUCUUGGUCUGAUCUAAGACAGGUCUAGAAUAUUUUUGAGUUCCUUAUUUUCAUUUCUGCAUAGUCAUCCAGUACCUUCUGUGAAAACUGUACUUAUUAGGAACAGUGAGUUCAAUGAUUAGGCAUUGCUACUAUCCUCAUCAGGGCCACGCUGUAUGGUUGUGCCCUGUACAAGGGCUCCAGCUGAGGGGUGAAUGGGGGUCUGAAAUCCAGCCCAUACUCUGUUCAUCAUGGUGCAGAACUGUGUUAAUCCAGAGAUGGGUACACCUUCAUUCUAGUUCACACACAGGUAUCUUGUGGGCUUGCAAACAUCCUGACUUUCAAGGAUUUUUCUGUGCCUGGGGGAA
ensembl:lncRNA